UAGGGAAUCUUCCGCAAUGGACGCAAGUCUGACGGAGCAACGCCGCGUGAGUGAAGAAGUAUUUCGGUUCGUAAAACUCUGUUGUUAGAGAAGAACAGCGCAUAGAGUAACUGUUAUGCGUGUGACGGUAUCUAACCAGAAAGCCACGGCUAACUACGUGCCAGCAGCCGCGGUAAUACGUAGGUGGCAAGCGUUGUCCGGAUUUAUUGGGCGUAAAGCGAGCGCAGGCGGUCAAUUAAGUCUGAUGUGAAAGCCCCCGGCUCAACCGGGGAGGGUCAUUGGAAACUGGUUGACUUGAGUGCAGAAGAGGAGAGUGGAAUUCCAUGUGUAGCGGUGAAAUGCGUAGAUAUAUGGAGGAACACCGGUGGCGAAAGCGGCUCUCUGGUCUGUAACUGACGCGGAGGCUCGAAAGCGUGGGGAGCGAACAGG
rnacentral:rRNA from 1 species